UACGUAGGGUCCGAGCGUUGUCCGGAAUUAUUGGGCGUAAAGAGCUCGUAGGCGGUGUGUCGCGUCGGCCGUGAAAACCUGGGGCUUAACUCUGGGCUUGCGGUCGAUACGGGCAUCACUGGAGUUCGGCAGGGGAGACUGGAAUUCCUGGUGUAGCGGUGAAAUGCGCAGAUAUCAGGAGGAACACCGGUGGCGAAGGCGGGUCUCUGGGCCGAUACUGACGCUGAGGAGCGAAAGCGUGGGGAGCGAACAGG
rnacentral:rRNA from 1 species